rfam:Oryza meridionalis cultivar OR44 (W2112) chromosome 2, whole genome shotgun sequence.
AACCACACUAUCAAUGAAUGAAUUUACUCGUGAUAUGACGUGGCUCUUCCACUUAGGAAGAGAACGUGGCAUCCUAUUAUCAACCAUCGCACGAAAUUAAUAGGACGCCACGUCUUCAUCCUAGUGGAACAACCACAUCAUCUCAUAGGUAGAUCUAUUCAUUAAUAAUGUAGUU